CCCAAAAAGGUGGGGGUCCUGAGUGAAUACUGGGUGGUGUCCGAAGAGCUAGAAGUUGCAAGUUGUGUUUGGAUGAAGACUAGGAUUUCAUUAAUUUUUGUAGCACAGCAAAUAUUGAUAUGCCCAUGACGUAGCUUGGUCAGUUUAGUACCUGACUCUGUAGAUACAUACCACUGGGCUUAUCCUUCAAGUGAUUGUUUUCUUGCUCAAACCUCUUUUCGACCCGAAAGAUUUUACUAGUCAUGGGGAAUAUCAACCAGGUCACUGUGGCAGUAUCGGCAAGGAGAGCAG